rnacentral:snRNA from 1 species
GAAACUGCAAGGGAACAUCCGAGAAAAUUAGAACGAUCCAGAGAAGAUUAACAUGGCCCCUGCGCCUGGAUGACAUGCACAAAUCGAGAAGUGUACCAAGUUUAA